rnacentral:lncRNA from 1 species
UUGCCUUUCGGAUCCUAGCCAUCCAGAGGCAUCUUUUAAGAAGUUUCUCUCGGAAUGGGGCCUUCCCAAUCCUGUUAGAGCGCAAUGCCAUACUUUUAGAAGAUGUCAGUGCUGUGGAAUGAGAUGGCCAACCAUCAUAUGUAUGCUGCAACUCAGAGAUACAGCUGUGAAUUCUCAGAAUACGGUACUGAUGGCCCUGUCGUCCAAUGCAUCCAAUGUCUGAUUUUCAUCUUGGCCAGCUGUGAGCGUUAACCAAGACUUUUCUCUCUGUGUGCCUGUAAAAAUUUUGUAGGUCCAGGAUGGUUGGAUAUUAUUUCAUAAAGCCUUAGUCUAUUCUACUAUGCCUUAGACAAAACUCAACCAUUCUCUUCCAUGAUGUAGAAUGGCUACUAAAAAGGAAGAAGAAAAGAAAGCUUUCAGAGGACAGUGGUAAACAAAUGCAUUAUGAUUUACUUAACAGGGAACUGUAAGUUUUUUAUGUCCAAGAACAUAGAACUUGCUUUUUUAAAAUACUUUCUAAAAAUUUUCUUUUCUUUUGUUUCUUUCUCCCCCCCCCAGAAGAGCUAUAGAGAAAAUCCCUUCUGGGAGCACCAUGAUCCCCAGGGAGCACUAUGAUACCUGGAGGCGGUAGAGGUAAGCUGGUAGGUUUGUCAAACCUGCUUCAGGGACACUCCAUGUGGUCCUGGGCUGAGAUAUUUUUGAAGCUGGUGCAAGCAGCAGUGGGGAAAUGGGGGCCUAGUGGUAUGGUGGUCAUUCCAGAAAUGUAACCCCUCAGAAACGUGCUACCCAGCCUCUUAUAAGAAGGGUAAAACAAAUAAAGCUGCUGCCUAUUUGGAACA